rnacentral:lncRNA from 1 species
GACACAGAAAGAUCUCUAUAAGAGCUAAGCCACCGUUGUGCUGCCUCCCCAGCUAGUUCUGCAAACCAGCUUUCUGCCUGUGUGAGCACAGACCCAACAAAGGAAUUGCUUGAAACUGGAAAUUCUUGCACCACUCCCUUUCCAGCGUGUCUCCUGAUGCUGACUAGUCGCCACCAUGCCCUCCAUCCUGAAGUGCAUCUGAGGGCAUUUCUAACUCAAUAUUGGAGUUCUUUAAAGAAGUACAUUCAUCACAGGACUUGCAUUUAUCUUUGGUGGUUCUCCCUUCCUCCCUGUCCCUCUGGUGAUAACAUUGGCUUCCAUAUUACACGUGUGGGACUGCAGCAGCUGAAAGCAGGGCUGGGGGAUUCCUCGUGUGCAUCCAUCAUCUCUAAAUGCCUCUCUGCAUCCUGGUCUGAAUUCAGCAGCAAGUACAAGCAGCCUGGCUCGCCGACAGCAGGUUGGACUUCCCUGGCAGUCGGGGCUUGCGGGCAAGCUCUUCCCAGCUCAAAAAUGAGACUUAAGCCAGGUCUUGAGCCUGUGUUCAGAGGGAGUAUAGGGCGCACAGCACCUUGCAGGAUGGGGCCCACCACUGUGCUCUGUGUAGUUCUCCCCUUCCCCCUCCCCAGCUCUGCUUUAGCAAUAACCUACUUUCUUGCUUUGUGGAAAGAACAGCUUGGAUUACGUUGCUACAAAUGA